rnacentral:rRNA from 1 species
GAUGAACGCUGGCGGCGUGCCUAAUACAUGCAAGUCGAGCGAACAGACGAGGAGCUUGCUCCUCUGACGUUAGCGGCGGACAGGUGAGUAACACGUGGAUAACCUACCUAUAAGACUGGGAUAACUUCGGGAAACCGGAGCUAAUACCGGAUAAUAUAUUGAACCGCAUGGUUCAAUAGUGAAAGACGGUUUUGCUGUCACUUAUAGAUGGAUCCGCGCCGCAUUAGCUAGUUGGUAAGGUAACGGCUUACCAAGGCAACGAUGCGUAGCCGACCUGAGAGGGGGAUCGGCCACACUGGAACGGAGACACGGUCCAGACUCCUACGGGAGGCAGCAGUAGGGAAUCUUCCGCAAUGGGCGAAAGCCUGACGGAGCAACGCCGCGUGAGUGAUGAAGGUCUUCGGAUCGUAAAACUCUGUUAUUAGGGAAGAACAAAUGUGUAAGUAACUAUGCACGUCUUGACGGUACCUAAUCAGAAAGCAACGGCUAACUACGUG